GGGAGGGUCUGUGGCUCAGUGGUAGUGCAUCUGCUUGGCAUCCAGAACAUCUCGGGUUCAAUCCCUGGCCUCUCCCA
rnacentral:tRNA from 1 species